UACAGUAGGGUGCAAACGCUAAUCGGAAUUACUGAGCGGAAAGUAUGAGCAAGUGCUUCUUUAAGACAGCUGUGAGAUCCCCGGGCUUAACCUGGGAACUGCAAUUGUGACUGGCGGUCUAGAGUUUGGCAGAGGGGGGUGGAAUUCCUGGUGUAGCAGUGAAAUGCGUAGAUAUCAGGAGGAACGCCGAUGGCGAAGGCAGCCCCCUGGGCCAUGACCGACACUCACGCACGAAAGCGUGGGGAGCAAACAGGAUUAGAUACCCUCGUAGUCCGCGCCCUAAACGAGUGUCUAUUAGUCGUUGGGUCUUCAUAGACUUAGUAACGACACUCACGCGUGAAAUAGAUCGCGUGGGGAGUCCGGCCGCAAGGUUAAAACUCAAAGGAAUUGACGGGGACCCGCACAAGCGGUGGAUGAUGUGGAUUAAUUCGAUGCAACGCGAAAAACCUUACCUACCCUUGACAUCCUAGGAAUCCCGCAGAGACGUGGGAGUGCUCGAAAGAGAACCUGGACACAGGUGCUGCAUGGCUGUCGUCAACUGGUGUCGUGAGAUGUCGGCUUAAGUCCCGCAACGAGCGCCAGCCUUGUCAGUAGAUGUUAUGAAAGGGCCUUCUAAUGAGACCGCCGGUGACAAUCCGGAGGAAGGCGGGGAUGACCUCAAGUCCUCAUGGUCCCUAUGGGUAGGUCUUCACACCCCAUACACUGGUCGAAACAGAGGGCUCUCAACCCGCGAGGGGGAACCCAUCCUCUAAAACCGAUCGCAGUCCGGAUUGGAGUAUGCAACUCGAGUCCAAGAAGUCGGAAUCGGUAGUAAUCGCGGAUCAGAAUGUCGCGGAGAAUACGUUCCCUGGUUU
rnacentral:rRNA from 1 species